CGGUGAGGUAGAGGAGCGAAUCUUAUUAGUAAUCCAUCGGAGUAUGACAUCGAUGAGGAUGGAUGAAAGGAAGAUUUGCCGAAGCGCAGCAAGGAGUCAAACUUGCUGCAGCUGGGAUGCUUUCUGAACAAGGAGCAGACUGUCAUGCUUGUUUAUGUGCAUGGAGGACUACUGAUCGA
rnacentral:ncRNA from 2 species